CAUACAGUCCUUUCUGCUGUUUUCUUUACCAUCCGGCUGCUUUUAUUCAUAACGGAAUCCCCGCAGAGCACAACAUGGCCAGGCGCUAGUGCUGUGUGAAGCAAAUCGACGAAAGAGUAGUUUGCAUCGGUAUGGACAGAAUUGGGUACAUCACAUUUCGUCGCGGAGAGUUGUUGUCCGUUUUCUUCUGGUCGAGAUCGACGAGAGAAUUCGUCUUUCGGAGUUGGACAGAAUUGGGUACAUCAGGUAUUUGUCACGCAGUGUCCUCGGCCCCCUUUUUGUCGUGAUCGCAGGCAGUUCAGGGAGAUCACCAGUUGGCGCCUGCAGGUGGUGGCCUGCAACUGCAGCAAAGGGAGAGAGAGAGAGGUGAUCGAAGCAAGAGCCGACAGAUUCACAUUCGGUCGUACAGCUUCAUGGCGAAGCAUUCAUGUCCGUGUGCUGUAAAAGGGUAUCAGGUUGAGUUUUAUCGUGUCGGAGAUGUGAGCAGACCACGCUGCAGUGCGCUUGUGUGGUGGUGACCACCGUCUGGGGAUCUUUGUUGUCAGAACCAACCAGCUUUUGUGGGUACUUGUCAGUGCUCGUGGCAACGGAGGCCGCCUAGCUUUGAUUGAGGCCUUAAAGAGGUCCAUUGUGUUACGUCAGUGUUCGUUAGAGUGCACAUUCGCUGGUUUGGACUUUGCAUAGAUAGUGGAUCUCGGUGUGGCAAACCGGGCGCAAGUUCGAGCGGUGAGAUAUGUGAAGUGUUUGUACGAACUUGACUUUGCAUCGAGUCGCCGUUGUGAAUGGGCACAGGUACGUGCGAAUGCAAGAGAUGAGGAGAGUGGUAGCGAAAGAGGCAGAACCCGGGCUGAUGACAUGCCACAGCGGGUGCUGGCGGUUUUAAGACAUUCGGGUUGUGAUGCCGUCAAAAUUGUGAGAUUCGCGAGUCGUGAGGCUCAGAUCAGGUCGACUUCGGGCAGUUUUGGCACCCUGUCAUCAAGGAGGAGUCGGCUUGACUGAUCUUGAAUGGAGCUGGAUUGGUACUCCAAGAAGCAUUUCUCUUCAAAUUACUCAAGACGAGUUGCAGCAUUGACCAGAUUCAUAGGACAUGUAGGGUCGAGUUUAAUGCUGGUGAAACCGCUAUACAAAAGGUUGUCAAGCUCCAUCUCGUCGAAAUCUCUGCCUGCCUCUACACAUUGUAAGAAGUGGGAUGACUACGAUGAUUUCCUCGACUUCCAGCCCAAGUGUGUGUCGCUCGGCAGGUCAAGAAAAUGGGCGUUUCCAAGCUUGGAUGAGAGGGCGGGAAGAAAGCAGCACAAUUGCUUCGCAUGUGUUCUCCACAUUUAAGAGCUGAUUGCGACCACCAAUUGCAACCCCAACCAUCAUCUCAUCCUUCACGAGCUAGAAUGUUUUUUUCGUGACCUUUUGUAAGUACAUUUCAGAGUUUAGACUAUUCGCGGAUUGUUUAGAAAUCUUUUAGGACCGAAGUCAUGAAUGAAUACCAUGCUUCUUUUUUAAACAGAGCACGCUCAUGAUUUCACUUGGUCAAAAUUUCAUCUCAUACUCACUUGUAGAUUGGUUUGGGUGUCAAUUGAGUCCAUCGAUGCUAGCCAUGCUGUCGGUGUUUACGUUGACGCCACUCAGUUUGCUUCCCUUGUUUUCAUCAGAACUGGUUCUCAAUUGUGGAGUACACAUGCCCACGAAUGGUUGUAAUACUCUAGGAUCUUUUUGCUCUUAGUCUUUCGUUCGUAUCCCUGUUGUAAGACGACCUCGACAUCAUCGUUUAGGGUUUACCUGAACCGUAAGGAGGACCGUCUCAAGCUUUUCAUGCA